UUGUGUCCAACUCUUCCUCACAGGUUAGUUAAUGACAGACAGUCAGUGAGUGUGUCUGUGUCCAACUCUUCCUCACAGGUUAGUUAAUGAUGUUACUGAGUCAAUGUGAGCAGAUUGUGUCUGUAGACUGAAGAGAAUCAGAGUCUCACUGAUGGUGGAAAUAAAGGUUUUACUUCCUUAAAACAGCC